rnacentral:rRNA from 1 species
UACGGGGGGAGCAAGCGUUGUUCGGAUUUACUGGGCGUAAAGGGCGCGUAGGCGGCCACCGCAAGUCGACUGUGAAAUCUCCGGGCUUAACCCGAAAGGUCAGCCGAUACUGCGGGCUAGAGUGCAGAAGGGCAACUGGAAUUCUCGGUGUAGCGGUGAAAUGCGUAGAUAUCGAGAGGAACACCUGCGGCGAAGGCGGGUUGCUGGGCCGACACUGACGCUGAUGCGCGAAAGCGGAGGCGAACGGG